rnacentral:rRNA from 1 species
GAUGAACGCUGGCGGCGUGCCUAAUACAUGCAAGUCGAGCGAACAGACGAGGAGCUUGCUCCUCUGACGUUAGCGGCGGACGGGUGAGUAACACGUGGAUAACCUACCUAUAAGACUGGGAUAACUUCGGAAACCGGGAGCUAAUACCGGAUAAUAUAUUGACCCGCAUGGUUCAUUAGGAAAAGACGGUUUUGCUGUCACUUAUAGUGGAUUCCGCGCCGCAUUAGUUAGUUGGUAAGGUAACGGCUUACCAAGGCAACGAUGCGUAGCCGACCUGAGAGGGUGAUCGGCCACACUGGAACUGAGACACGGUCCAGACUCCUACGGGAGGCAGCAGUAGGGAAUCUUCCGCAAUGGGCGAAAGUUUGACGGAGCAACGCCGCGUGAGUGAUGAAGGUCUUCGGAUCGUAAAACUCUGUUAUUAGGGAAGAACAAAUGUGUAAGUAACUAUGCACGUCUUGACGGUACCUAAUCAGAAAGCCACGGCUAACUACGUG